GUUUUAUUGUUUAUUUGCAGCGAAAUUAUUGCAGUAUUUAUAGUUUUAAUUUGAUUCUGAUUUUGAUCACCAAUUAUCUAAAGCAGGGAUGGUCAACACACGGGUAAGGGAAGGAUACGUGCUAAAUUUUUGUAAAAAUGUCUCUCGCGUGACGAUUAAGAUUUUAAACAUCAGCUCGUCGCGUGACAAUCAGCUCCAAGUUUUGCAUGUCCAAAAAUUUGUCACAGGUUCGUUAUCUUUGAUAUGUUAUACAGAAAUGAAUCUGAAGCAUUUAAAAAUCUUUCAGAUAGAGCAUUUAAGAUAAAACAUUGAUAAUUAAUCAUCACUUCCAGGUUGCAGAUUAACCACAGUUGAUAUGCAACCAAGAUAAUCCAACUCUAAAUAAUCAGGAGUCUAUUGUAUUUUCAAACAUUAAAAAUAUAAUUAUAUGGAACAAAAGAUUUUUCUGAACAUGUUUCCAGAUGAUAUCCAAAUUAUACUAGCAAAAGCAUUUGACAAUUGCUUUUAUAGUUCUUCCUAGUCUCAUGUCAUUUCUAUAUUUGGCUAGUCUAUCUCCUAAAUUUCUUUUUGUGAUAUCAAGGUAUAUUUGAUUAAGAAAAACUUUUAGUUCCAUGUAUUUGUAAUUGUAGUUUUUGAAAAUAAUUUUAAGUUAAAUAGUUUAUUA
rnacentral:lncRNA from 1 species